CCCUUAGAUGUUCUGGGCUGCACGCGCGCUACACUGAAGCGUUCAACGAGUAUUCACCUUGCCCGGGAGGGUUGGGUAAUCUUUUGAAAACGCUUCGUGAUGGGGAUAGAUUAUUGCAAUUAUUAAUCUUCAACGAGGAAUUCCUAGUAAGCGCGAGUCAUCAGCUCGUGCUGAUUACGUCCCUGCCCUUUGUACACACCGCCCGUCGCUCCUACCGAUUGGGUGCUCCGGUGAAUUGUUUGGACUGCUGUCAGUCUUUUUGGCUGUCGGCGAGAAGCUCUGUGAACCUUAGCACCUAGAGGAAGGAGAAGUCGUAACA
rnacentral:rRNA from 1 species